GGGGGGCUAUACAUGCAAGUCGAGCGGACAGAAGGGAGCUUGCUCCCUGAUGUUAGCGGCGGACGGGUGAGUAACACGUGGGUAACCUGCCUGUAAGACUGGGAUAACUCCGGGAAACCGGAGCUAAUACCGGAUAGUUCCUUGAACCGCAUGGUUCAAGGAUGAAAGACGGUUUCGGCUGUCACUUACAGAUGGACCCGCGGCGCAUUAGCUAGUUGGUGGGGUAAUGGCUCACCAAGGCGACGAUGCGUAGCCGACCUGAGAGGGUGAUCGGCCACACUGGGACUGAGACACGGCCCAGACUCCUACGGGAGGCAGCAGUAGGGAAUCUUCCGCAAUGGACGAAAGUCUGACGGAGCAACGCCGCGUGAGUGAUGAAGGUUUUCGGAUCGUAAAGCUCUGUUGUUAGGGAAGAACAAGUGCGAGAGUAACUGCUCGCACCUUGACGGUACCUAACCAGAAAGCCACGGCUAACUACGUGCCAGCAGCCGCGGUAAUACGUAGGUGGCAAGCGUUGUCCGGAAUUAUUGGGCGUAAAGGGCUCGCAGGCGGUUUCUUAAGUCUGAUGUGAAAGCCCCCGGCUCAACCGGGGAGGGUCAUUGGAAACUGGGAAACUUGAGUGCAGAAGAGGAGAGUGGAAUUCCACGUGUAGCGGUGAAAUGCGUAGAGAUGUGGAGGAACACCAGUGGCGAAGGCGACUCUCUGGUCUGUAACUGACGCUGAGGAGCGAAAGCGUGGGGAGCGAACAGGAUUAGAUACCCUGGUAGUCCACGCCGUAAACGAUGAGUGCUAAGUGUUAGGGGGUUUCCGCCCCUUAGUGCUGCAGCUAACGCAUUAAGCACUCCGCCUGGGGAGUACGGUCGCAAGACUGAAACUCAAAGGAAUUGACGGGGGCCCGCACAAGCGGUGGAGCAUGUGGUUUAAUUCGAAGCAACGCGAAGAACCUUACCAGGUCUUGACAUCCUCUGACAACCCUAGAGAUAGGGCUUUCCCUUCGGGGACAGAGUGACAGGUGGUGCAUGGUUGUCGUCAGCUCGUGUCGUGAGAUGUUGGGUUAAGUCCCGCAACGAGCGCAACCCUUGAUCUUAGUUGCCAGCAUUCAUUUGGGCACUCUAAGGUGACUGCCGGUGACAAACCGGAAGAAAGGUGGGGAUGACGUCAAAUCAUCAUGCCCCUUAUGACCUG
rnacentral:rRNA from 1 species